AUGAAUGUUGCCGGAGGGAAUUUCAACCCAGCAGCAGCUGCCAUGUUAGCGCGUCCUCUCCUGUUAAUGCCGCAGGUAACUAACCAACAACCUAUCAUGUUAGCGCAAUUUGCCUUAUUGAAAAACCUGGUUUCACUAACUGUUAACGUUAAGUCAAUCUCUUCUCAUACAUUGCACAGAUGACCAUGAGGAGAGACAGAGUCUGACAGGCUCAGAGGGUGGCAGUUCUUGCUCCAGUUUUCCGCAAGCUUAUCCUUUCAGAGAGGCAGGGAAGAGUAAAAUGACCCAGGCCAGAGAAGACAAAUGUCACAGAGUAGUGACUAAGUUUGUGGUAAAAGCCAUGCACCCGUUUGCCACGAUAUAUGCCCCUGGUUUUCGAGGGAUGACAAAGACUCUCAACCCAAAGUACAACGCCCCAAACAGAGACAAUUUAACCAGCCACUUGAUCCCUGCUUGGUAUGCGGCUGAAAAGGCAAAUCUGAUUUCUGAGCUGGAAUAUGUGUUGCAGGCAGCCAUUAAUGCUGUUGGAUGGACAAGUUUUAGUCAAGAUCAUUACCUCACAUUAACUCUGCAAUAUGUCAGGGCUGGCUUAAAAUAAAAGACCUCAAAACCAAAGGCGUGUACCAAGCCCAGACAAAGGACAGCUGUGGCAGAGUAGAUUGAUGAGAUCUUGGAGGUGUAUGAUGUCAAAGAAAAGGUCGUGGCAGCCACUGUUGAUAAUGCGGCAGACAUGGAGGUAGCUGUCAAAAAGCUACAGGAUGUCAAGUUACCAUGUCUGUGAUUGUAUGGAUGAAGAGGUCCCACAUGGCAAAAGUGGUCCUCCAGGAGAAGCGAGACGUGCUCAACUAAGAAAAGCCGAGGAGUUUGGACUGUUCAUGCGGAGGCACUAUACCUUUCCAGCGACAAACGUCCGACUUGUGUUGAGAUGUUUUGCUCAUCCCGCAAAAGCUACAACAGCACUACAACGUGCAAGAAGAUGACUACCAUCACGAAGAGUAUCAAGGAGUACAUUUGAAAAGUUAUUUCUAAACGGU